UAAUGAAGGAAGCAUGGUUGUGUGCACGGAAAUUGAUUCCCUUGGGUCAACAUGUCUGCUCUCUCUGAUCGCUUGAAUUGAUUUGAGGGCCUGGUUGCGACCCACAUUU